ACAUUUUUUUCACGUCAUAUUUCAGUCAGUCAUUCACAUCUAUUAGGGAAAAGUAGCCUAUAUUUGAGGAUUAUGAGGAAAAGGUCAAUAUGAGGGGAAAAAACAAACCUAAUUUCCUUAUUUAUUGGAAAGCUUCCUUGUGACAAGUAUCUCAAAUAUUCAGAUUAUUACAAAGAUCAAGACAAAUUACAUUCAUUCAUUCAAAUGCAUGUUGUAGCUCUAACAAUUCAUCUUUUUACAUUUUGACUAUUUAAGCCCCGCCCCUGCAAGCUCACGCUCAUCUGCAUACACGCCCACAUCUCAACAUCCAAUCAACUGAUGCACCAAGAACCAAGCCCCGCCCAACAUUUUUACAUUUGGAUGCAUGUCACAAUAAAGAAUAAAAGAUCU